AGGUCACCGAAUUUUCUCCUGGAAAGAAAGAAUAUUUUAAUCUGAUUUGUGAGUCUGGAAGGAGAAACUGAAUUUCACCAAUCAUUCCCAAGGACACUCCAAGGAUGAGGAAGUGGAUAUGGUCCCAUAUCUGUGCUUUGGGGGGAGCAACCCAGGCUCCAAGAAAGGGAGCUACCAAAUGAUUUCUUCCAACAAAAUGAAGACACAAAACCAAGACAAGGAAGACCUGGAAUACAAGAAACAGGAGAUCUAAUACAAGAAACAGGUGAAGGGAGAUAUCCUAGGAUGAAAACUAGGAGUGGUUCAUGUAAGAGCAAGAAAAAAAAACUCCAGAAUUUUCUUCAUAAAUGCAAAACUGAUAGGAAUAAACACCUUAAGAGGAUAUGUGGAUAAAUGGCAGUAAACCUAGAGGUAAAUUAUAUUGAUAAAUACAAAGAAAACUAGUAACAACAAAAAUACAGCUAUUAACUUUAAGGGGGAAAAAAGAUGCUGAGGAAAAUAAAAGUAACAUA